rnacentral:pre_miRNA from 1 species
CAACUACUCCCUCUGUCCCAAAUUUCUUGUCUUAGAUUUGUCUAGAUACGGAUGUAUCUAAUACUAAAAUGUGACUUGAUACAUCCGUAUCUAUACAAAUCUAAGACAAGAAUUUUGGGAUGGAGGGAGUACUUU